rnacentral:rRNA from 1 species
CGGGGUUUCCCGAUUUACUGGGCGUAAGCGCGUGUAGGCGGCUGGUUAAGUGUGAUGUGAAAUCUUCGGGCUCAACCCGAAAACUGCAUUGCAAACUGGCCUGGCUAGAGUGCAGGAGAGGGAAGCGGAAUUCCAGGUGUAGCGGUGAAAUGCGUAGAUAUCUGGAGGAACACCAGUGGCGAAGGCGGCUUCCUGGCCUGUAACUGACGCUGAGACGCGAAAGCGUGGGGAGCGAACCGGAUUAGAUACCCGGGUAGUCCACGCCCUAAACGUUGCGAACUAGGUGUUGGUCGGAUUGACCCGAUCAGUGCCGCAGCUAACGCAUUAAGUUCGCCGCCUGGGGACUACGGCCGCAAGGUUAAAACUCAAAGGAAUAGGCGGGGGCCCGCACAAGCAGCGGAGCGUGUGGUUUAAUUCGAGGCAACGCGAAGAACCUUACCUGGGCUUGACAUGCAGAGGAAACGCUCAUGAAAGUGAGCGCCUCCCGCAAGGGAUCUCUGCACAGGUGGUGCAUGGCUGUCGUCAGCUCGUGCCGUGAGGUGUUGGGUUAAGUCCCGCAACGAGCGCAACCCUUGUCCUUAGUUGAAUCUUCUAGGGAGACUGCCGGGCGAAACCCGGAGGAAGGUGGGGAUGACGUCAAGUCCGCAUGCCCUUUAUGUCCAGGGCUACACACACGCUACAAUGGCCGGUACAACGGGUUCCAACACGGCGACGUGAAGGCAAUCCCUUAAAGCCGGUCUCAGUUCGGAUUGUUGGCUGCAACUCGCCAGCAUGAAGUCGGAGUUGCUAGUAACCGCAGGUCAGCACACUGCGGUGAAUACGUUCCCGGGCCUUGCACUCACCGCCCGUCACAUCACCCGAGUCUGGUGCUCCCGAAGUCGCUGGCCGAACCCGUGAGGGACGGAGGCGCCGAAAGGAGUGCCCGGUGAGGGGGGUGAAGUCGUAACAAGGUAACC